UACAGAGGUCCCAAGCGUUGUUCGGAUUCACUGGGCGUAAAGGGUGCGUAGGCGGCCUGCUAAGUCGAACGUGAAAUCCCUGGGCUCAACCCAGGAACUGCGUCCGAUACUGGUUGGCUUGAAUCCGGGAGAGGGACGUGGAAUUCCAGGUGUAGCGGUGAAAUGCGUAGAUAUCUGGAGGAACACCGGUGGCGAAGGCGGUUCUCUGGGCAUUACCUGACGCUGAGGAGCGAAAGUGUGGGGAGCGAACAGG
rnacentral:rRNA from 1 species